AAAUGACCCAUGCGUUGCAGUGUGUGUAUAUACCCAGGUGGAAGCAGCACAUGAGGAGCAGGAGAUAACUGAGGGCACAGGCUGAAUUCUGGAGAUUGAGUGUACAUCCAGAUACACCAGGCCGGGGUGUUGGGACAGCGUUGGUCUGGUCCACACACCGUACUCCUUACAGCACCUGCAGAGGAACCAGAAGGAGAAAGGUGAAAUGAAAGGAGUCAACGGCUCCAGCGGACAUAAUAUCAGUGUUCUAUGAGAAAUGGAAAUAAGAUUGUGUGUGGUGUGAUCAUAUAACAGAGGCCAUAAGUCUCUGAGUUUGUAAACCUCAUGGUGAAGGUUAAUCAUGUUUAGGUUAAUUUUGUGUUUAUAUAUUAUAAUCAUUGUUUGUCCAUUUUUAAGUACUUUCCAAGUGUAUGUAACGUUGAACAGUAUGAUAUCAGGUGUUCAAAAAGGGGGGACUGAUAGGUUUGGAUCUGAGGGGUGCCAUAGCCGAGGGGCUACACCAGAGGUUAAUGGUUAUCUGUAGGAAGAAGGUAUAUGGGGGGUGCAAUUAAGCUUGGAAUGUACUGAGUGUAGAGAAAGCGAUCACAUGUGGCAGGCAUUGAUAUGGGGGGAAGAGAGCCAUGGAUUAGUGAUGAAGGGGGUCGAGGACAGGUCAGGUCACGUUAAGGGAGAAGAAAAGUUUAUUACCAGUAUCACUUAGUUUCCUGCCUACCAAUAAAGAUACAAUGUUUAGUGAGGAGACUCCACCCAAAGUGGGGUACAUAUACCACAACUAUUGUAAACAUGUUUUUGUCUAAUGUAGCUGUAUUGACCCUUUGGGAAGAAUAAACUUAGUUUAAAACCUCUCUGGGAUAUGUGGGACGCUAGUGUCCCACCUGGCCAAAAGCCAGAGAAAAUGCAGAGCACCAAAUUCAAAUAAAUUACUAUAAAAAUCAAACUUUCAUGAAAUCACACAUGUAAGAUACCAAAUUAAAGCUACACGUGUUGUGAAUCCAGCCAACAUGUCAGAUUUCAAAAAGGCUUUUCGUCGAAAGCAAACAAGGCUAUUAUCUGAGGAUAGCACCAUAGUAAACCAAGAGAGAAAACAUAUUUCAACCCUGCAGGCGUGACACAAAACGCAGAAAUAAAAAUAUAAAUCAUGCCUUACCUUUGAUGAGCUUCUUCUGUUGGCACUCCAAUAUGUCCCAUAAACAUCACAAAUGGUCCUUUUGUUCGAUUAAUUCCGUCGAUAUAUAUCCAAAAUGUCCUUUAUUUGGCGCGUUUGAUCC
ensembl:lncRNA